CAAUUUGCCUUCAUCCUUUGUCUCUCUUACUCUUAGGAAGCAACCUCACAAGCUUAACCCCGGAAAGGAGAAGAGAGUUGGAAGAAAGAGUCUAACAGUUGUCAUCAGCUCCUCCAUUUUAGCAACCAAUCAGGGGAUUAUAUCAUAUCAUACUGUAAUGCCUUGGUGUGAGGCCAUUCACCCCACAGUGUGUUAUCUUCUGAAAGGACACAUCGAAACUGUGUGCCCAACUGGAGUGGCAUUUGCUGAAGGAGGUAACACCUCUUAA
rnacentral:lncRNA from 1 species